rnacentral:rRNA from 1 species
AUUGAACGCUGGCGGCAGGCCUAACCCAUGCAAGUCGAAAGCGUGGCGGACGGGUGAGUAAUGUCUGGGAAACUGCCUGAUGGAGGGGUAAAACUACUGGAAACGGUCGCUAAAACCGCAUACCGUCGGCUGUGCCCAGAUGGGAGUGGCUAGUAGGUGGGGUAAAGGGUCACCUAGGCGACGUUCCCUAGAUGGUCUGAGAGGAUGACCAGCCAGACUGUAACCUAGACACGGUCCAGACUCCUACGGGAGUCAGCAGUGGGGAAUAUUGCACAAUGGGCGCAAGCCUGAUGCAGCCAUGCCGCGUGUAUGAAGAAGGCCUUCGGGUUGUAAAGUACUUUCAGCGGGGAGGCGUUACCCGCAGAAGAAGCACCGGCUAACUCCGUGCCAGCAGCCGCGGUAAUUC